CCGUUUUUGUGUGUGUUUUUAGAACGACAUUGACAGUGUUGAUCCCAGAGGUAGAACAGCAUUACACCUGGCCGUGUCACUGGGACACCUGGAGUCAGUGAGAGUCCUCCUCAGACAUGGUGCUGCAGUCACUAAAGAAAACGCCAACAGCUGGACAGUGUUGCAGGAAGCUGUGAGCACUGGAGAUCCAGAGAUGGUCCAGUUGGUCCUUCAGCGCAGGGAUUACCUCAAAGCCUCCACUGCUUUGGGGGGAGUUCCUGAGCUCCUGUCAAAGAUCCGAAAGUCUCCAGACUUCUAUAUGGAAAUGAAGUGGGAAUUCACCAGCUGGAUUCCUCUUGUAUCCCGAGUUUGUCCGAGCGACGUCUGCCGCAUAUGGAAAAGUGGUGCCUGCCUGCGAGUGGACGCCACUCUCCUUGGCUUUGAAAACAUGACGUGGAUCAGAGGUCGUAGGAGCUACAUCUUCAGAGGAGAUGGUCUGUGUGUUUCU